AAUUGCGUUAAAAUUGAAUUUAAACACAGAAAACUCAACCGAAUGAUAACCAAAAACGGCCGCUUAUUACCGCCAAAGUGUCCAGUGUAAACGGAGCAAGUGUCGGCCGAUAAUAACGGCCCUGAAAGACUGUAAAACAAAUGUCUGGCCCGCUUCCAUUGAAUGUGUGCGAUACAAGCCACGCAUGGCGUGCGCCAGUGAAAUUGCAAACAGUUGUGAAAUGGCCAAAUGAGAUUUAAAUGGAAUCUUGGGACUUACAGGAGGAAUUGAUUGCACUGUCAUGUGAAAUCGACGGAUAUCCUUGCACAUAACCUAGAACACGCAUUUGCGAAUUUAUGUUGUUGUUGCCUGGAGUCUGCUCUGCAUUUGUUGAUACACCGAGAGAAAAUGUGCCAAUUGUCUGGCUUAGAAUCGUCAAGUGGCCUGAUAACAUUGUAUUCAAUUCUAUUGUUAUCUAUUUCCCAAAUGAAUUGUUAAUUGAGAACUUAAAGAUCAAAGUAGUUAUACUUUAAAAUAUAUUUUCAAGUAUUUAAAUUGGUAGAAAGUUAC
ensembl:ncRNA sisRNA:CR46364 stable intronic sequence RNA CR46364